rnacentral:rRNA from 1 species
GACGAACGCUGGCGGCGUGCCUAAUACAUGCAAGUUGAGCGCUGAAGGUUGGUACUUGUACCGACUGGAUGAGCAGCGAACGGGUGAGUAGCGCGUGGGGAAUCUGCCUUGGAGCGGGGGACAACAUUUGGAAACGAAUGCUAAUACCGCAUAAAAACUUUAAACACAAGUUUUAAGUUUGAAAGAUGCAAUUGCAUCACUCAAAGAUGAUCCCGCGUUGUAUUAGCUAGUUGGUGAGGUAAAGGCUCACCAAGGCGAUGAUACAUAGCCGACCUGAGAGGGUGAUCGGCCACAUUGGGACUGAGACACGGCCCAAACUCCUACGGGAGGCAGCAGUAGGGAAUCUUCGGCAAUGGACGAAAGUCUGACCGAGCAACGCCGCGUGAGUGAAGAAGGUUUUCGGAUCGUAAAACUCUGUUGGUAGAGAAGAACGUUGGUGAGAGUGGAAAGCUCAUCAAGUGACGGUAACUACCCAGAAAGGGACGGCUAACUACGUG